UUUGGCCUCCAGCUUAGUGAAUUUUGUUUACCAUUAGGAAGGGGUUACCUAGAAGUCCCUGGGAAACAGCUAUGAACUGCACUGUAGCACAAACUUAACCCCUAAACCAAGGUAAAUUUCCAACUCUUGAAGUCUCUAAUGCUUCCCUCCCUUCAUCUGCCUCAUGUCAAUCAAAGGCACCUCUGCCCAGCCCUUAGUCUCCUGCCGUUAUGAUUAAAUAGCUGUCAGAACCAACCGUGUAAGGGAAGGCUGGCUUCAUGUGGCUCUGAGUGUGCUGAGGUAGAACAUCGAGGCAGGGAGCAUGGAACGAAGCAAACCAACCCAUUUUACAGCGGACAGGAAGCAGAGAGGGACCCAGGGAGAAGAUAUUCCCAUCCAGGGAAUAUUCCCAGAGAACCCACUUCCGCCAUUCAAGUCCCAACUUGCGCCUUCCACCACCUCCCAAUCAUGAAGUUUAUUUCAGUUUACAGUCCUUGGUCUCGGAGAAGUCCAGGCUGCAGGAUCUGAAACAACUGCUCACGUCACAGCCACGGCCAAGAGUAGAGAGCGAUGGAUCCACAUGUGCACACUAGAUCUCAGCUUCCUUUCUCACCUAUACAGCUCUGGUCCAGCCUACAAUUAAGACAGGCUUUCCCACCUUAAUUAACCAACAUAUCUCAGGUAAUUCCCCAUAGACAUGCCCAAAGGCUCAUCUAAUCUAGACAGAGAUUGCCUUCCCAGGUGAUUUUAGAUUGCGUCAAACUGACAACGAAAACCAAUGCUCACAAGAGAUCAUGCUGUAGCUCUCUCUCCAUUCUAUCUCUCUGGAAGCCCAGGUCUUCCCGCUCACCAAUGCUUCUUUAGAUCUCAGUUCCAAGGAGUGACCUCUUUCCAGGGUGGUGAUCUGGGGAGACCGCUGUACCGUUCAUUGUCACCUGAGUUAAUGGAAGACCUGAGUUUGUUGCGGCAGAAUGAUUUGGACCUAAGAUCCCAGUGCUAUGGAAGCCAUGCUAUCCCAGGAUCCUGAUCUAAAGACUGCAGAUGUGCCUGAUGCCUAAAGAUGCCAGCAGAGGGUACCGGAUCCCCCGGAACAGGAGCUGGACAGUUGUGAGCCCUCACGUGGAGGCCUAGAACUGAUCUCAGGGCUUCGGUAGCCUCCAACUGUCCCAGCCCUGGAGAAUCCAAGAAGCAGCAGUUGGCACAGGACGCCUUCUCCAGUGGCUACAAGACAACAUUGAAAAAAAAAUCAGCUAUGGAGGGAAAAGAGGAAGCCAGAGAGCAGACUCGACCUCGAGGAGUAAGAUGUCUAGCAAAUUGCAUUCAUACCCAUGGGCGCCUCAUAGACUACCUGUCUCUUCAUCGCCUGGUCAGUACUGCCUAGAACUAAAGGAAAAUAAAGAGGAGGGGUAUGUUUCUCCUCUCCAAAUGAAGUCUGCAAUAAGCUUGCAGCUCAAGGCUGGCUAACGCGUGCUGUGCAGGUUUGCCCGGGGCUUUCUAAGCCGGGGUGGGUUUUUGAACCAGUGUAGAGCAGUCAUGUUGAUGUGGAUGGUACAAAGGAAGUUGGGAAAAAUUGAGAAUGAAGGGUAUGUUUGUGCUUCGUUCUGAUUCAACUAGGAGCCAACACACAGCCUCUGAUAACACUUUAGUUGUGUUGAAGUCUUCUCGCAAGGAGAUAUGUCACUGCAGUGUAUGAAUUAUCCAUGUGACCGAGAAGCACGUUUCUUAACUUUCUCUAUUCGAAGCAAACUUAUGUGUUUUUUUUCCCCCUCUUGUAAGUCUAGGGAAAAAAAAAUCCUAACCUCUCAGACAGUGACAUAACUGUCACCUGCUUAAAAUGGUAUGACGUUCUUCAAGUCUGAGCAUACUCUCUAGGGCUCUCUGUUUUCCAUGAAAGCAUUUAUUUCAGUCAAAAUACUUCAUGUUUUUCUCCAUUCCGACAUUUCACCAAAAAGGAGUGGCAAGACGAUAUAGCAACUUAAAACUCCCACGCCAUCGCUAACAGAAUGCUUUCCUUGCUCCAUGGAGAAUCCCUCUCUCCUUCGACUAUGUCAGAAGCCCUGGGGAAAGAGUUGGCUUCUCCACAGCCCUGGGGGGCUACCUAUGUCUGGGGGGGUUUCUGGGUCCUGUCUGGAGAUUGGGCUCUAGGAGAUG
rnacentral:sRNA from 1 species